CAACUUCCCGGAUGGGGCUGUGGUGGGUCACAGUGCAGCCUCCAGCCAGAAGGAUGGGGUGGCUCCCACUCCUGCUGCUUCUGACUCAAUGCUUAGGGGUCCCUGGGCAGCGCUCGCCAUUGAAUGACUUCUAGGUGCUCCGGGGCACAGAGCUACAGCGCCGCUACAAGCGGUGGUGCCCGGGCCUUGGCAGGAGGAUGUGGCAGAUGCUGAAGAGUGUGCUGGUCGCUGUGGGCCCUUAAUGGACUGCCGGGCGUUCCACUACAAUGUGAGCAGCCAUGGUUGCCAACUGCUGCCAUGGACUCAACACUCACCCCACACGAGGCUGCGGCAUUCUGGGCGCUGUGACCUCUUCCAGGAGAAAGACUACAUACGGACCUGCAUCAUGAACAAUGGGGUUGGGUACCGGGGCACCAUGGCCACGACCGUGGGUGGCCUGUCCUGCCAGGCUUGGAGCCACAAGUUCCCGAACGAUCACCAGUGGGACAAACACCUUCCCUCCGUCCCGGCCUGGGACCUUCCCCCAGCACACACUAUAGUGAUGCUCUGGGCCCUCAGGUACAUGCCCACGCUCCGGAAUGGCCUGGAAGAGAACUUCUGCCGUAACCCUGAUGGCGACCCCGGAGGUCCUUGGUGCCACACAACAGACCCUGCCGUGCGCUUCCAGAGCUGCGGCAUCAAAUCCUGCCGGCCGCGUGUGUCUGGUGCAAUGGCGAGGAAUACCGCGGCGCGGUAGACCGCACCGAGUCAGGGCGCGAGUGCCAGCGCUGGGAUCUUCAGCACCCGCACCAGCACCCCUUCGAGCCGGGCAAGUACGCGUAGGCGGUAUCGGCGCCCUGGGGGCCGGGCUAGGGAAGGUCCAGGACUCCAGGGGCAGGGCUCCGUGUAGGGCAACUGGGCGGGGCCAGAUAAGCCAGAGUCCCAGGGUCUUCUUCACGCCCCAUUACCGCCCCCAGGUUCCUCGACCAAGGUCUGGACGACAACUAUUGCCGGAAUCCUGACGGCUCCGAGCGGCCAUGGUGCUACACUACGGAUCCGCAGAUCGAGCGAGAAUUCUGUGACCUCCCCCGCUGCGGUAGGCGGCGGGGACCAGGCCUGGGAGGGUACCUGGGAACCUUGGGGAGGGGCGUGGCUUGGCCGGGGAGGUCAGAGGGGCUGGGCGUGACCUGAGAGCAUAUCCCGUGGAGUACCGUACACCUGGGAAAGGCGGGUUUGGUCCCAGCCCCAGAGGGAUCUCAGCUGUCGCUCGGGGCCGGACCUAUCUCGGUCCAUCUAAGGGUCCGAGGCACAGCCCCGCCAAGAGGCCACAAGUGUCAGCUGCUUCCGCGGGAAGGGUGAGGGCUACCGGGGCACAGCCAAUACCACCACCGCGGGCGUACCUUGCCAGCGUUGGGACGCGCAAAUCCCGCAUCAGCACCGAUUUACGCCAGAAAAAUACGCGUGCAAGUGAGGUGGGGGGGCGGGCGUUGGGACGUGCUGCUGCGGGUGAGACGGGAGGAGGGUAGUCACGGGCUUAGGGCUGGAGGCUGGCGGGCUAGGGCUGAGUGCAGCGCCUGCUUAGAGACCUUCGGGAGAACUUCUGCCGG
rnacentral:lncRNA from 1 species